rnacentral:rRNA from 1 species
GGGAAACAACCCAGACCGCCAGCUAAGGUCCCAAAUUACUACUAAGUGGGAAACGAUGUGGGAAGGCUCAGACAGCCAGGAUGUUGGCUUAGAAGCAGCCAUCAUUUAAAGAAAGCGUAAUAGCUCACUGGUCGAGUCGGCCUGCGCGGAAGAUGUAACGGGGCUAAGUAGUAAACCGAAGCUGCGGCAAUAUACUUUUGUAUAUUGGGUAGGGGAGCGUUCUGUAAGCGGUUGAAGGUGUGUGGUAACGCAUGCUGGACGUAUCAGAAGUGCGAAUGCUGACAUGAGUAACGAUAAAGGGGGUGAAAAACCUCCUCGCCGGAAGACCAAGGGUUCCUGUCCAACGUUAAUCGGGGCAGGGUAAGUCGACCCCUAAGGCGAGGCCGAAAGGCGUAGUCGAUGGGAAACGGGUUAAUAUUCCCGUACUUCUUACAAUUGCGAUGGGGGGACGGAGAAGGCUAGGUGGGCCUGGCGACGGUUGUCCAGGUUCAAGUGCGUAGGCUUAAGAGUUAGGUAAAUCCGGCUCUUUCUAAGGCUGAGACACGACGUCGAGCACCUACGGGUGUGAAGUCAUUGAUGCCAUGCUUCCAGGAAAAGCCUCUAAGCUUCAGAUUGUAAGGAAUCGUACCCCAAACCGACACAGGUGGUCGGGUAGAGAAUACCAAGGCGCUUGAGAGAACUCGGGUGAAGGAACUAGGCAAAAUGGUACCGUAACUUCGGGAGAAGGUACGCUCUUGAUGGUGAAGUCCCUUACGGAUGGAGCUGACGAGAGUCGCAGAUACCAGGUGGCUGCAACUGUUUAUUAAAAACACAGCACUGUGCAAAAUCGUAAGAUGACGUAUACGGUGUGACGCCUGCCCGGUGCCGGAAGGUUAAUUGAUGGGGUUAGACUUCGGUCGAAGCUCUUGAUCGAAGCCCCGGUAAACGGCGGCCGUAACUAUAACGGUCCUAAGGUAGCGAAAUUCCUUGUCGGGUAAGUUCCGACCUGCACGAAUGGCGUAAUGAUGGCCACGCUGUCUCCACCCGAGACUCAGUGAAAUUGAAAUCGCUGUGAAGAUGCAGUGUACCCGCGGCUAGACGGAAAGACCCCGUGAACCUUUACUACAGCUUGGCACUGAACAUUGACCCUACAUGUGUAGGAUAGGUGGGAGGCUUUGAAGCACGUACGCCAGUAUGUGUGGAGCCGUCCUUGAAAUACCACCCUUGUAGUGUUGAUGUUCUAACGUCGA